rnacentral:rRNA from 1 species
GACAGAGGAUGCAAGCGUUAUCCGGAAUGAUUGGGCGUAAAGCGUCUGUAGGUGGCUUUUUAAGUCCGCCGUCAAAUCCCAGGGCUCAACCCUGGACAGGCGGUGGAAACUACCAAGCUGGAGUACGGUAGGGGCAGAGGGAAUUUCCGGUGGAGCGGUGAAAUGCGGCAGAUAUCGGGAGGAACACCAGUAGCGAAGGCGGCACUCUGGGCCGGUACUGACGCUGAGGAGCGAAAGCGUGGGGAGCGAACAGG